AUUGAACGCUGGCGGCAUGCUUUACACAUGCAAGUCGAACGGCAGCACGGACUUCGGUCUGGUGGCGAGUGGCGAACGGGUGAGUAAUACAUCGGAACGUGCCCAGCUGUGGGGGAUAACUACUCGAAAGAGUGCUAAUACCGCAUGAGAACUGAGGUUGAAAGCAGGGGAUCGCAAGACCUUGCGCAACUGGAGCGGCCGAUGGCAGAUUAGGUAGUUGGUGGGAUAAAAGCUUACCAAGCCGACGAUCUGUAGCUGGUCUGAGAGGACGACCAGCCACACUGGGACUGAGACACGGCCCAGACUCCUACGGGAGGCAGCAGUGGGGAAUUUUGGACAAUGGGCGAAAGCCUGAUCCAGCAAUGCCGCGUGCAGGAUGAAGGCCUUCGGGUUGUAAACUGCUUUUGUACGGAACGAAAAGCUUCGGGUUAAUACCCUGGAGUCAUGACGGUACCGUAAGAAUAAGCACCGGCUAACUACGUGCCAGCCGCCGCAGUAACAC
rnacentral:rRNA from 1 species